rnacentral:rRNA from 1 species
UACGUAGGGUGCAAGCGUUGUCCGGAAUUACUGGGCGUAAAGCGUGCGUAGACGGCUAUCUAAGUCGGGUGUGAAAGCCCAGGGCUCAACCUGGGAAUUGCAUUCGAGACUGAAUAGCUAGGGUGCGGUAGAGGGAAGCGGAAUUUCCGGUGUAGCGGUGAAAUGCGUAGAUAUCGGAAGGAACAUCAGUGGCGAAAGCGGCUUCCUGGACCAGCACCGACGUUCAGGCACGAAAGCGUGGGGAGCAAACAGG